UACGUAGGGGGCAAGCGUUGUCCGGAAUCACUGGGCGUAAAGGGCGCGUAGGUGGCGGCCCAAGUCCAUGGUGAAAGCUCGCCGCUUAACGGCGAGUCGGCCACGGAUACUGGGUUGCUCGAGCACUGUAGGGGCAGAUGGAAUUCCGGGUGUAGCGGUGGAAUGCGUAGAGAUCCGGAAGAACACCAGUGGCGAAGGCGGUCUGCUGGGCAGUAGCUGACACUGAUGCGCGACAGCGUGGGGAGCAAACAGG
rnacentral:rRNA from 1 species